rnacentral:rRNA from 1 species
GACGAACGCUGGCGGCGUGCUUAACACAUGCAAGUCGAACGAUGAAGAAGAGAAACGCGAACUUCGGUUCAAAUUUCACUUCGGAUUAGUGGCAGACGGGUGAGUAACGCGUGAGCAACCUACCUCUUACAAAGGGAUAGCCUCGGGAAACCGUGAUUAAUACCAUAUGACACAUUCAUAAGGCAUCUUAAGAAUGUUAAAGCUACGGCGGUAAGAGAUGGGCUCGCGUCCCAUUAGCUAGUUGGUGAGGUAACGGCCCACCAAGGCGACGAUGGGUAACCGGCCUGAGAGGGUGAACGGUCACAUUGGAGCUGAGACACGGUCCAAACUCCUACGGGAGGCAGCAGUGGGGAAUAUUGCACAAUGGAGGGAACUCUGAUGCAGCGACGCCGCGUGAGCGAUGAAGGAAUUCGUUUCGUAAAGCUCUGUUCUAUGGGAAGAAAAGGACUGUACCAUAGGAGAAAGCCCCGGCUAAAUACGUG